ACGGGAGGCAGCAGUGGGGAAUAUUGCACAAUGGGGGGAACCCUGAUGCAGCGACGCCGCGUGAAGGAAGAAGUAUCUCGGUAUGUAAACUUCUAUCAGCAGGGAAGAUAAUGACGGUACCUGACUAAGAAGCCCCGGCUAACUACGUGCCAGCAGCCGCGGUAAUACGUAGGGGGCAAGCGUUAUCCGGAUUUACUGGGUGUAAAGGGAGCGUAGGUGGCCAUGCAAGUCAGAUGUGAAAUCCCGGGGCUCAACCCCGGAGCUGCAUUUGAAACUGCGUAGCUAGAGUGCAGGAGAGGUAAGCGGAAUUCCUAGUGUAGCGGUGAAAUGCGUAGAUAUUAGGAGGAACACCAGUGGCGAAAGCGGCUUGCUGGACUGCAACUGACACUGAGGCUCGAAAGCGUGGGGAGCAAACAGGAUUAGAUACCCUGGUA
rnacentral:rRNA from 1 species